GAGUUUGAUCCUGGCUCAGGAUGAACGCUAGCGACAGGCUUAACACAUGCAAGUCGAGGGGCAGCGAGGUGGUAGCAAUACCGCUGUCGGCGACCGGCGCACUGGUGAGUAACACGUAUGCGACCUGCCCCCUACAGGGGUAUAACCCGUAGAAAUGCGGACUAAUCCCCCAUAGUCCCGCGGGCUGCAUGGCCUGCGGGGGAAAGGGUUUCCGGUAGGGGAUGGGCAUGCGGCGCAUUAGCUAGUUGGCGGGGCAACGGCCCACCAAGGCGACGAUGCGUAGGGGUUCUGAGAGGAAGGUCCCCCACACUGGUACUGAGACACGGACCAGACUCCUACGGGAGGCAGCAGUGAGGAAUAUUGGUCAAUGGGCGCAGGCCUGAACCAGCCAAGUCGCGUGAGGGAAGACGGUCCUACGGAUUGUAAACCUCUUUUGUCGGGGAGUAACGUGCGGGACGCGUCCCGUAUUGAGAGUACCCGAAGAAAAAGCAUCGGCUAACUCCGUGCCAGCAGCCGCGGUAAUACGGAGGAUGCGAGCGUUAUCCGGAUUUAUUGGGUUUAAAGGGUGCGCAGGCGGCGCGCCAAGUCAGCGGUCAAAGUUCCGGGCUCAACCCGGUGUCGCCGUUGAAACUGGCGUGCUCGAGUGCGUGCGAGGAAGGCGGAAUGCGUUGUGUAGCGGUGAAAUGCGUAGA
rnacentral:rRNA from 1 species